rnacentral:rRNA from 1 species
AGAGUUUGAUCCUGGCUCAGAUUGAACGCUGGCGGCAUGCUUUACACAUGCAAGUCGAGCGGCAGCACGGGUGCUUGCACCUGGUGGCGAGUGGCGAACGGGUGAGUAAUGCACCGGAACGUACCCAGUAAUGGGGGAUAACACAUCGAAAGAUGUGCUAAUACCGCAUACGCCCUGAGGGGGAAAGCGGGGGAUCGUAAGACCUCGCGUUAUUGGAGCGGCCGAUGCCGGAUUAGCUAGUUGGUGAGGUAAGAGCUCACCAAGGCGACGAUCCGUAGCUGGUCUGAGAGGACGACCAGCCACACUGGGACUGAGACACGGCCCAGACUUCUACGGGAGGCAGCAGUGGGGAAUUUUGGACAAUGGGCGCAAGCCUGAUCCAGCCAUGCCGCGUGAGUGAAGAAGGCCCUCGGGUUGUAAAGCUCUUUCGCAAGGAAAGAAAACUUAUCUACUAA